rnacentral:rRNA from 1 species
AUUGAACGCUGGCGGCAGGCCUAACACAUGCAAGUCGAGCGGAUGAAGGGAGCUUGCUCCUGGAUUCAGCGGCGGACGGGUGAGUAAUGCCUAGGAAUCUGCCUGGUAGUGGGGGAUAACGUCCGGAAACGGGCGCUAAUACCGCAUACGUCCUGAGGGAGAAAGUGGGGGAUCUUCGGACCUCACGCUAUCAGAUGAGCCUAGGUCGGAUUAGCUAGUUGGUGGGGUAAAGGCCUACCAAGGCGACGAUCCGUAACUGGUCUGAGAGGAUGAUCAGUCACACUGGAACUGAGACACGGUCCAGACUCCUACGGGAGGCAGCAGUGGGGAAUAUUGGACAAAGGGCGAAAGCCUGAUCCGGCCAUGCCGCGUGUGUGAAGAAGGUCUUCGGAUUGUAAAGCACCUUAAGUUGGGAGGAAGGGCAGUAAGUUAAUACCUUGCUGUUUUGACGUUACCAACAGAAUAAGCACCGGCUAACUUCGUG